rnacentral:rRNA from 1 species
UACGAAGGGUGCAAGCGUUAUUCGGAAUCAUUGGGCGCAAAGCGCGCGCAGGCGGAUCAGCAAGUCAGAUGUGAAAUCUCGGAGCUCAACUCCGAAACUGCGUCUGAAACUGCUAGUCUAGAAUGUCGGAGGGGGCAGGGGAAUUUCACGUGUAGGGGUAAAAUCCGUAGAGAUGUGAAGGAACACCGGGGGCGAAGGCGCCUGCCUGGACGACUAUUGACGCUGAGGCGCGAAAGCGUGGGGAGCAAACAGG